GCUUUCUUUGGAAAUGCAUAGACUGAAAUCAGAAUGAUAUAGAGAAGACUAGCAUGGCUCCUACAAAAAUAUGGCAUGCAAAUUCAUGAAGCAUUCUACAUUUUU